rnacentral:rRNA from 1 species
UCGAGAAUAUUCGUCAAUGCCCGAAAGGGUGAACGAGCGACGCCGCGUGCGGGAAGAAGGCCCUUGGGUCGUAAACCGCUUUUCUUAGGGAAGAAUGUAAUGACGGUACCUAAGGAAUAAGAGGCUACUAACUCUGUGCCAGCAGUAGCGGUAAUACAGAGGCCUCAAGCGUUAUCCGGAUUUAUUGGGCGUAAAGAGCAUGUAGGCGGAUAUAUUAGUCGGCUGUCAAAUCUUCGAGCUCAACUUGAA